CCUACGGGAGGCAGCAGUGGGGAAUAUUGGGCAAUGGGCGCAAGCCUGACCCAGCAACGCCGCGUGAAGGAAGAAGGCUCUCGGGUUGUAAACCUCUUUUGAUAGGGAAGAGUAGAAGACGGUACCUGUCGAAUAAGCCAUGGCUAACUACGUGCCAGCAGCCGCGGUCAUACGGAGGUGGUACGUGUUGUCCGGAUUUACUGGGUUAAAAGGGCGUGUAGGCGGGUUGACAAGUCAGAUGUGAAAUCCUGCGGCUUAACCGCAGAACUGCAUUUGAAACUGUUGAUCUUGAGUACUGGAGAGGCAGACGGAAUUCGUAGUGUAGCGGUGAAAUGCGUAGAGAUUAGGAGGAACACCAGUGGCGAAGGCGGUCUGCUGGACAGCAACUGACGGUGAGGCGCGAAAGCGUGGGGAGCGAACAGGAUUAGAUACCCUAGUAGUC
rnacentral:rRNA from 1 species